UUGCCUGUUUAUCAAAAACAUGUCUAUUUGGUAGAUAAAAAUAGUCUGGCCUGCUCACUGAUAAAUAAAUUAAAGAGCCGCGGUAUAUUGACCGUGCAAAGGUAGCAUAAUCAUUAGUUUUUUAAUUGGAAACUUGUAUGAAUGGUCGGACAAAAGAAAAGCUGUCUGUAUUACAAAUGUUGAAUUUAACUUUUAAGUGAAAAGGCUUAAAUAAUUUAAAGGGACGAUAAGACCCUAUAAAACUUUAUAUGUUAGUAAAAUUUAAUUAAAUUAUAAAAGUUUAAUUUUACGUUGUAUUUUAUUGGGGCGAUAAAGGUAUAAUUUAUAUAACUGCUUAUAAUGCAAACAAUGAUAUUUGAGUAAUUAAUAAAUGAUCCUUUUUAAAGAUUAAAAGACUAAGUUACUUUAGGGAUAACAGCGUAAUUUCUUUUGAGAGCCCAUAUCUAAAAAGAAGAUUGCGACCUCGAUGUUGAAUUAAAAUAAUCUAUUUAAGGGCAGCCCCUUAAUAAGAAGAUCUGUUCGAUCUUUAAAUUUUUACAUGAUUUGAGUUCAAACCGGCGUGAGCCAGGUUGGUUUCUAUCUA
rnacentral:rRNA from 1 species